rnacentral:lncRNA from 1 species
GGCCCCUAAUUCCUAAACUGUUCAGACCUUAACUCCCAAAAUCAAUCCCAACCUUCCUUUUGUGGUCAUAAACCUUGUGAUUAAAUUUCAUUGAUUUCUAUUUACUUAUACUAAAGUUAUUGUGCGAAAACCAAGAAUAAUGCUUAUUUGGGCCCUUUUUGGCCCCUAAUUCCUAAACUGUUUGAACUAAAACUCCCAAAAUCAAUCCCAACCUUCCUUUUGUGGUCAUAAACCUUGUGUCAAAAUUUCAUAGAUUUCUAUUUACUUAAACUAAAGUUAUAGUGCUAAAACCAAGAAAAUGCUUAUUUGGGCACUUUUUGGCCCCUAAUUCCUAAAAUUGUGGGACCAAAACUCCCAAAAUCAAUCCCAACCUUCCUUUUGUGGUUAUAAACCUUGCGUUAAAAUUUCAUAGAUUUCUAUUCACUUUUACUAAAGUUAGAGUGCGAAAACUAAAAGUAUUCGGACGACGACGACGACGCAAGACGACGCAGGACGACGACGACACCAACGUGAAAGCAAUAUACGACGAAAAAUUAAAAUUUUUGCGGUCGUAUAAAAACA